rnacentral:rRNA from 1 species
AUGGAUUUACACCCACAGGUGAUUUGCUGGAAUGUCCGAGGUUUGAACAAUCCAGCCAAGCGCAAGGCGGUGCGGGAAUUCGUGAGCUCUCUUGAGGUCAAUUUAGCUUGCUUGCAAGAAACAAAGUUGGAUGUAAUAGAUAGCUAUCUAGUUAUGCAAUGUUUGGGGCCAUCGUUUGAUGGCUUUGCUUACUUGCCGGCUAUUGAGAUUAGAGGGGGUGUGCUGCUAGCAUGGAAGAGCUCGAUCUUGGAGGUGGAGGCCAUCCAGAUCGAUACUAAUUUUCUGACGGGUCGUGUGCGCACUAAAACAGGUGAGCCGUGGUGGAUCUCUGUUGUCUACAGGCCGCAAAGCGAUGAGCAAAAGCUUAACUUCUUGGAGGAGCUGAAGUUAAGGUGA